rnacentral:rRNA from 1 species
GUGGAUUAGAUACCCUGGUAGUCCUAGCCGUAAACGAUGGGUACUAGGUGUAGGAGGUAUCGACCCCUUCUGUGCCGGAGUUAACGCAAUAAGUACCCCGCCUGGGGAGUACGGCCGCAAGGUUGAAACUCAAAGGAAUUGACGGGGGCCCGCACAAGCGGUGGAGUAUGUGGUUUAAUUCGACGCAACGCGAAGAACCUUACCAGGACUUGACAUUGAUUGAAAAGUAUAGAGAUAUAUUCCUCUUCUUCGGAAGACAAGAAAACAGGUGGUGCAUGGUCGUCGCCAAUU